rnacentral:rRNA from 1 species
ACAGAGGGUGCGAGCGUUAAUCGGAAUUACUGGGCGUAAAGCGUGCGUAGACGGUUAUUUAAGUCGGAUGUGAAAGCCCCGGGCUCAACCUGGGAAUUGCAUUCGAGACUGAAUAGCUAGGGUACGGUAGAGGGAAGUGGAAUUUCCGGUGUAGCGGUGAAAUGCGUAGAUAUCGGAAGGAACAUCAGUGGCGAAAGCGGCGAUCUGGGGCGAUACUGACACUCAGGUGCGACAGCGUGGGGAGCAAACAGGA